rnacentral:rRNA from 1 species
GCGGGGGUAGAGUUCUUCGGAGCUUGAGACCGGCGCACGGGUGCGUAACGCGUAUGCAAUCUACCUUUUACAGAGGGAUAGCCCAGAGAAAUUUGGAUUAAUACCUCAUAGUAUAAUUGAAUGGCAUCAUUUAAUUAUUAAAGUCACAACGGUAAAAGAUGAGCAUGCGUCCCAUUAGCUAGUUGGUAAGGUAACGGCUUACCAAGGCUACGAUGGGUAGGGGUCCUGAGAGGGAGAUCCCCCACACUGGUACUGAGACACGGACCAGACUCCUACGGGAGGCAGCAGUGAGGAAUAUUGGACAAUGGGCGCAAGCCUGAUCCAGCCAUGCCGCGUGCAGGAUGACGGUCCUAUGGAUUGUAAACUGCUUUUGUACAGGAAGAAACACUGGUUCGUGAACCAGCUUGACGGUACUGUAAGAAUAAGGAUCGGCUAACUCCGUGCCAGCAGCCGCGGUAAUACGGAGGAUCCAAGCGUUAUCCGGAAUCAUUGGGUUUAAAGGGUCCGUAGGCGGUUUGGUAAGUCAGUGGUGAAAGCCCAUCGCUCAACGGUGGAACGGCCAUUGAUACUGCUAGACUUGAAUUAUUAGGAAGUAACUAGAAUAUGUAGUGUAGCGGUGAAAUGCUUAGAGAUUACAUGGAAUACCAAUUGCGAAGGCAGGUUACUACUAAUAUAUUGACGCUGAUGGACGAAAGCGUGGGUAGCGAACAGGAUUAGAUACCCUGGUAGUCCACGCCGUAAACGAUGGAUACUAGCUGUUGGGCGCAAGUUCAGUGGCUAAGCGAAAGUGAUAAGUAUCCCACCUGGGGAGUACGUUCGCAAGAAUGAAACUCAAAGGAAUUGACGGGGGCCCGCACAAGCGGUGGAGCAUGUGGUUUAAUUCGAUGAUACGCGAGGAACCUUACCAAGGCUUAAAUGUAGAUUGACCGGUUUGGAAACAGACUUUUCGCAAGACAAUUUACAAGGUGCUGCAUGGUUGUCGUCAGCUCGUGCCGUGAGGUGUCAGGUUAAGUCCUAUAACGAGCGCAACCCCUGUUGUUAGUUGCCAGCGAGUCAUGUCGGGAACUCUAACAAGACUGCCAGUGCAAACUGUGAGGAAGGUGGGGAUGACGUCAAAUCAUCACGGCCCUUACGCCUUGGGCUACACACGUGCUACAAUGGCCGGUACAGAGAGCAGCCACUGGGCGACCAGGAGCGAAUCUACAAAACCGGUCACAGUUCGGAUCGGAGUCUGCAACUCGACUCCGURARCUGGAAUCGYAGUAUCGGUAUAGCAUGAUCGUGAUCCUUCCCGGCCUUG